UUUUGCAGUUAGACGUUCACGGCUUGAGAGUUUACUGAAUUAAAGGAAUGCUUUGCUUUCGCCCGGCUCUCAACACCGUCGCUUAAACUCCUCUCCAGCGCUCCCUUCCCUCCUCAGGCAGACGGACCAAGAGGACAAACCUGCUGGUGAACUGGAUGAGCUGCACGUCAUCUCGGCACUGCAGCAGAGACUCUCUGUUCUCCAACAGGAUGGCUGCACAGAUGAAGAGCUCAAAGGUGAAGUCAGUGUUGAUGGCCUGCAGCUCUGACUCUGAGUGGUCUUCUGGAAACACCAGCAACAACAGUCACACAACCGUCGGCCCUGAAGUCCUUGGAGAAUUUCUCCAUGUAGCAAGAAAAGCUCCAGAAAGUGUCCACCUCAGAGUCAAGAACUUCCAGGAACCGACUGCACAGGUCAUUCAUUCCCUGGGCGUAAGUGACCUC